ACCCUGGCCACACCUACCUGCCCCCCCAUGGACAACCGCAAUGCUGAUACGGCCCUCAAUGAAAUUGAGUUUGACACCCCUGUUCUAGCUUCUCACUGCAGAAAUCCCUAAUACGUUCCAGUAAGUUUCAAAAGCAACACUUGGAAGCAGAAGCAGCUAAUGUGGAUCCUCAGAGCGGUUCCUAUAAGGUUUCUGUACUUCUGUCAGAUAUGCAAUUCAAAUUUUCUGCACUGCUAUUUAAGCAGGAAUAUACCUCUGAGUAAGCAGGUAUUUUGCUUAUGGCAUUUGUACUUUAGUGCAACAAGCAAGCACUCGCCCUCUAAAUAAGUUAGACUUUCAUAAUAUUAAAAUUUGAUAGGUGUUCUUAACAAGAAAUUCACAAUAGUAGCAUCACACACACAUUCCACAAAUACUUAUGAUAUUUGCACAACCACUUGCUUUGCAGUUCUUGUCUUCUUAACUGAUGGGAGACUAAAACUGACCCGCAUAUAUCCCCAAUAAAAAAGAACAGUUAUGUCGGAGUACUGAAAAACUCAGCCAAAUGGGAAAAUGCAAUGAAAAUAAUAUUUGCCUUCAUGCAAAGAAGUAACAAUUUAUAUGUACUAUACACAAAAUAUAUAUUACAUUCUUUUACUUAAAUUAUUGCUAAAUUAUAACAGUUGCAUUACAAUAUUAUUCUAAAAUAUUUUCUUCCACUAUCCUACUCCUAGAUGUCCUCUAUUAUCCUCCCCCCUCAAGAUUUAAGGGCAUGUGAAAUAGUUUAGAUGGAAUUUGCAUGAAACUUAUCAACUUUGAAAUAAUGUUUGGAUUUAAAUUCUCCAAUGAACCAAAAAGAACGUUUCAUGCUUCCUUGUUACACAGCAUUUGUUUUAGCUUUCCAUAGCUCUCCCCAAAACCAACCAAGGAAGAUAAACACAGAAAUCUAAUACUCUUAUGCACUUCUUUGCACUAAAUUAUCUGUACAGUAAGCCAAAAAUAGUUUAUGGUUAUAAUUAGCACACCUGUUUGCUCCAUUAACAUGCAAAUACAUUUUCUUGUUCAGAGACUGCAUGAGAGAUUUCUCAGUCCUUGUAAAAUAUGACAUUAAAUCCAUACAACUAUUCAAGUUUGUUUUCAACGUGCACAAGGAAGGCACUAUCUUUCAACACUUAGAAAUCCAACAAUAAGCUUUUUUUUUAUCAAGUUUGACUGACUUGUCCUUUCCAGAGCUAAGGUGUAAUUGUUUUACCCAAGAUAAUAGGAACACUUUGUAAGGUGAAUUACUAUUCCACCAGCACAGCAUACCAUACUCACAUUCCUCUCUGCCAAGGGUUGCUAACUUAUCUUUGCUUUCAAACUGAGCUUUUUUUCUUCCCUCAAUCUUUUAAUAAUCAUUCCCCCCCCCCCCCCAAAAAAAAAGGAGAAUGGCAACACGGGCAGAUUUCAGGGCAUUCACAAUAAUUCCUUCCCAGUUUCCACCUCUCACAGAAAACUGAACCCUACCUAAGGAAUAAGGAGCAAGUAAUCCAGCUGAAUUUGCAACCAAGUUUCGGGUCUUCGUAUUUUGUGCUUUUCAAGCAAGGUGCACAAUACAACUGUACGCAUGUUUAUCCAGAAACUCAGCGUCUUUAUUAUGAGACGCUCUCCUCUAAAGUUCAGCCAGACUUGCCAUUCCCAGUCAAACCACCGCCAAGGCAGAGGAGACGGCUCCUGGCCCUCCCAAGGGCGGCUGGUCACCGUCUCCCACAGGUCCAUCAUCCCCAAAUCUGCCCUAGGUGAAGCACUGAUCUUUUAGCCAGUCUUCCAUCUUUGAGUGAGAAGCUUGUGGCCUUUCAGAUCCUGGAGAAUUACAAUUCCCAACAGCCCCAGCAAGCAUGGCUAAUGAUGAAGCAUGCUGGAUUCUGCAACUAAGCAACAUCUGGAGGGUCAGAAAUUCCAAACUGGGAAGCUAAUUAGAAGAUUUGCAGAGAGGAGGCUAGAUAGAUGCCCAUAGGAAGAGAGUAACGUUUAAAGGGGAAAAGUGGCUGAUUACUAUACAAGAAAAAACAACACCUGUAGGGAUGGCGAGGAACAUAAAAACGGCCUGCAGCUAUUAAUCCUCAGGACCAUCACAGGAGAUGUUUCGAGUUCCGAAGAUCCCUUUCAACUUUGUGAUUCUGUUCUGUUCUGAAUCGGUGGCUGGAUGUGGUAUUUAUUGGUGACCUUGGCUCAGUCACUUUCUCUCAGCCCUUCUGAAAAAAACCUUUCCAAGAAAACUCAAGUGGCGUGUCCAGACAAUCUCCAAGAAUUGGACCCAAUUGAAUGGAAGAAACAAAACUCCAAACAAUAUGAGUGUUGGACAGUACUCUACUGUUCUAGAAGGGGUGCACUCUUCCCAGAAUUGAGUGUCGCGAUUUUGCAUGCUGUACGAAAGGGGUGGAGCCUGCAGCGCAACAAUACAAUGCUGUUCUUGCCAUUUUGACCAAGUGCUGGGUCUUCUGGAGACCUACUUCAAGCUCUUACUGUUAUUUUCUAGGUUCUGCCUGAGCCCAACACAACCCUGACUUGUUAAAUGGUCAGUUAUAAUUCUAAAGUGCUUCCUAUCGAUGCUUAGAAACUAUAACAGAGGAAAGUAAAUGUUGUCGGAGUAUAUUGCACUAUAAGGGAUCUUCAUGUAACCUAUUAGGAUGGCAACUCUAAGAGAAGCACUGCUGAACAGGAGAUGAACAUGACUGACAAAGAAGACUAUGUCAUCAAGCAUCCUUCAAAUGCGUUCUUCCAAGAAUAUCCAGUACAGGUAGUCCUUACAAUUACAAUUGAAUCCCAAAAUUAUGUUGCUAAGUGAAAAAUUGCUUGGGAAAUUCUGAAAAAAGAGGUAAUAAAAGCCCAAACAAAAGCAAUACCAUAGAAGAAGAAAAACAAGAGACAACAGAUGAGACCAGCAAGGUUAAAUGAGUUAAAUGAAUUUUACCCCAUUUUAUGACGUUUUUUGCCACAUUUGUUAAAUGAAUCGCUACAGUUGUUAAGUUUGUAACAUGAUUGCUAAGUGAAUCUGGCUUCCCCAUUGACUUUGCU